CGGAAAGUGGGUCUCCGCUCCCGGUGCUCGCCUCCCAGCGCCCCGGGGCCCCAGCAGCGUCGAAAUUCUCCUCCGCGAUCCCAGCGCUCUUGCGGGGCGCUGUUUCCACGCUACCCUUGCCCACUUAUCGAUCACCAACAAACGUGUGUUGAGCACCUGCUGCAUACCGGGCUCUGCUCUGUGUUCAGAGGACACAGAGGGAGCAGGCUGGGGUUGGGGGGCGGCCUCCCUGCCCUCCUGGAGCUCAGGGCCUAGAGGAAGACAGAGGGCCGGGACAACAGCCCAGAGGCCACUGCUGGUUGCAUAGGUGUUCUGCAGGAGGAAGUGAGGGGAGAGAUGUCACAGGCCGGGCCCGUGCGGAGGGUUCUCCAAGGACUGAAGCCUGAGAGGGACAAGGCCCAGCCAUGUGCCAAGCCUGGGGCAAGGCGGCCCCGUGGAGGGUGCUGAGGACACAGAGGUGAACCAGACAGAAAGCACCCUGCUCUCAGGCAGCCGGCACUCUAGCCAUCAUUGAGCGCCAGCUGUGUCCCAGGCACUGUUGAAGGCAAGGGCCACUGGAGGGGGCAGACGACGGUGAGGACGCUGCACACUGACUGCACGGGGCUCAGUGCUUUGGAAAGAAGAAACGGCACAGCAGGGCAGUGGAAAGAUGAACUGAAGGGCGACCUAUGAGCCACAAAGCAAAGGCUGUGACAGGAGAGAUGCCCAGGGUGGCGUGGGGGACACUGCCACGACCCGCUCAGGAUUUUUUAAAAUCGAGGUUGUCCCGUUCCUUCCUCACCUUGUUUGGUGAGGCCCUCCCCAGACAGAAGAACUGCGUCCGGGGAGAGUAGACUGGCUCCCAGGCCCAAGGCAUCCUGGGAAGGAGGAAGGAGAAGAACCCAUGAGGCCGAGGGCGGCUGUGCCUCCGCCUCCCCUCCCCCAGGCUGGAACCCCCACCCCAGCUGCUCCGGGCACCAGCUCCCAGCCUGCGGGGCUGUGGGGAGAGGACCGCCAGCCUGGGGUUUCCAGCUUUCUGGGAAAAAAGUCAACAUCCACUAUGGAUCUGGUCUGGCCCCCUCCCGUGUCCACUGUCCUCCCCCAGGUCCCCCGACCCUGGUAGGACCCCUCCCCACCCAUGUCCAGGGCGGAGGGAGGGUCACAGUGGGCGGGCAGGGGUUAAUUCCUGGAGCCGGCGUGCUCCUCCCACCUCUGGACGAUCUGUCUCUGUCCUCAGCCAUUGGUGACCUUUUUUUUCCAUGACCACAAUCUUCCCCCUUUGAACUAUUAUGUGCUAAAUAUAUAUUUUUUUUAAUUUUCUACACUUGUGCAGCCUUGAAUCCAUUCAUUUAAAAGGAAAAGUUUAUAUUAAUGUCCUAAUGGGAAAACCCUGCUCGUUGCCCCAAACAGCCUGUGAAUUUCAAAAGAAAAAGUAACACAAGGAAGGUGAAACUGUGGAUUUUAGCUGGAUAAACCCGGGGCCACCAAAUGCUAAACGCCUUAGCUCCCUGGAGAGCCUUUCUCCGGGCCCUGGGGACAGGCUGCCUGCCUGCGGAUCUCCUCUUUGCCACUUGGUCGCUGUGCCUCAGUUUCC
ensembl:lncRNA